GGCCGGUUGGCGCAAUGGUAGCGCGCAGCCCUCCUAAGGCUGAGGUUGUGGGUUCGACUCCCACAUCGGUCG